rnacentral:rRNA from 1 species
AUUGAACGCUGGCGGCAGGCUUAACACAUGCAAGUCGAGCGAGCGGCGGACGGGUGAGUAAUGUCUGGGAAACUGCCUGAUGGCGGGGGAUAACUACUGGAAACGGUAGCUAAUACCGCAUACCAUCAGAUGUGCCCAGAUGGGAUUAGCUAGUAGGUGGGGUAAUGGCGCACCUAGGCGACGAUCCCUAGCUGGUCUGAGAGGAGGACCAGCGACACUGGAACUGAAGCACGGUCCAGACUCCUACGGGAGGCAGCAGGGGGGAAGAUUGCACAAUGGGCGCAAGCCUGAUACAGCCAUGCCGCGUGUGUGAAGAAGGCCUUCGGGUUGUAAAGCACUUUCAGCGAGGAGGCGUUACUCGCAGAAGAAGCACCGGCUAACUCCGUGCCAGCAGCCGCGGUAAUAC